rnacentral:lncRNA from 1 species
GCGGGUUGUGACCCAUUUUGACGGCUCUAGGUAAAGGAGAAGUCUACCAAAAUUUAAAAAUAAUUCACGGUUGAAGUGAGGGGAAUGAGAGUGUUAAAUUGUGAUUAAGAAUAAUAGGCUUGUAAGAUAAGCCUUGCACAGAGAUAAAAUAAUAAAACAAAAGGCAAAAGAAGGAAGGGUGUUGCUCCCUCCACCACCACUCUUGCUAUAUCCUCUUCUCC